GCUCUGUGGUAUUUGCCUAACCUCCUCCAGAGAGGGGAGGGGAAUUGGAGACUGAGUUCAGUCAAAGGGCCAGUGAUUCGGUCAUUCCUGUCUACAUAAUGAAACCCAUUAGCCAUUCUGGGCCCCAAAGCUCAGUGGAGGCUCCUGGCUGAUGAACACAUUGAUGUGCCAGGAGGAUGACAUGCCCGAUGCCAGUAAGAGGACACAGAAGCUCUGCAUUCAGGACUGUUCAAUAGGAGCAACAGGCCCCAGAUGGAAUCACUUCAGCUAAGCCACCAAGACUUAACACCUAACCUAACUGCAGUUUCAGCCUCUCCCAGGUGGAAUUUUAAACCAAUUGGUCUGGAAUUUCCUGGUCAGCACUCGUGAGGGCUUUCCAAGACCUUGCCUAUGUGUCUGUUCAUUUGGCGAGUCCUGCUUUCCUAUUUUAGGUCAUUGUUACCACAUGUUUGAACUCUGACCGCAGCCUUCUGAGUGGGUGACCCAAGUUUCCAUCUUUCCAGAACUUGUGUAUGAUCCCUGAAAUUUGUUUCUUCCAGAUAAAAAAUAGAAACUAAA